rnacentral:ncRNA from 2 species
CCGAAUCCGUUGGGGUGCCCCCGUCGAGGGGCUGAGAGGCGACUGCCGACCCAUCGAACCUGAUCCGGUUAAGACCGGCGUAGGGAACGGAGACAGGGUCGAC